UUGCAUGAGGAAAUAUGUUUGCCCCUCAUUCCUUUGGGAGCAGGAAUGCAUCCAUAACACGCUACAUUAAAAAAAAAAAUAAGGAGUUCUCAGGGCUGUCAAACUUGCGGUAGAGAUUGAGUAGUAGUAUAUUUCUCCUACAUAA